rnacentral:rRNA from 1 species
UGCAGUCGACGGUACAGAGAGAAGCUUGCUUCUCUGCUGACGAGUGGCGGACGGGUGAGUAAUGCUUAGGAAUCUGCCCAUGUAGUGGGGGACAACUCGGAGAAAUCCGAGCUAAUACCGCAUACGCCCUACGGGGGAAAGCAGGGGAUCUUCGGACCUUGCGCUAUUGGAUGAGCCUAAGUCAGAUUAGCUAGUUGGUGGGGUAAGAGCCUACCAAGGCGACGAUCUGUAGCUGGUCUGAGAGGACGAUCAGCCACACUGGGACUGAGACACGGCCCAGACUCCUACGGGAGGCAGCAGUGGGGAAUAUUGGACAAUGGGGGCAACCCUGAUCCAGCAAUGCCGCGUGUGUGAAGAAGGCCUGCGGGUUGUAAAGCACUUUCAGUAAGGAAGAAAACCUCAGGGUUAAUAACUCUGUGGCUUGACAUUACUUACAGAAGAAGCACCGGCUAACUCCGUGCCAGCAGCCGCGGUAAUACG